rfam:Arthrobacter sp. A3, complete genome.
CCACCGGGACCUGGUCGGGGCUGACGAAGUGCACGUGGGUGUCGAUGCCGCCGGCGGUCAUGAUCUUGCCUUCGCCGGCAAUGAUGUCGGUGGCGACGCCGAUGGUGAUGUUCACGCCGUCGGAAAUGUCCGGGUUGCCGGCCUUGCCGAUCUUGAAGAUGUGGCCGUCGCGCAGGGCCACAUCGGCCUUGUAGAUGCCGGUGUAGUCCAGGACGAUCACAUUGGUGAUGACGGUGUCCGGGAUAUCUUCAUCACGGGUGCGCUGGCCGUUUUGGCCCAUGCCAUCGCGGAUGA